CGACUUGUUUUCUGAAAAUGAAAAGCACACUGCUGAAAUGCUAAAAUACAAAUUACAAUGGGAUUAGAGAGCUACAAAUGUGUGAACCUGUGCUUAAAACCGGACUCGAUGUUGAUGUUUGUGGAAUAGAGGUACCCUAUGCAGAUGAGUGGUUCACCAUGCUGUCGUUGUCGGUACCAGUAAAGGUAGAAGACCUCAGAGACUUUGUGGCUGCAGCUGAAGUUGGCGUUUCCCCCGACAGUCCUCUGCAGCGCUGCCGGGGUCUGGAGGACAGAGCUGCUGCACAAAACUCCGCUGACAGAGACACGAGCUGGGAAGGAGCAGAACAAGGUGAACAAAAUGAAGAGAGGAAGAUAAAUGAAAGAAUGAAGAGCACAACCACCCAAUUAUCCAGUCAUUUAUAGAAAACACAACCCAGAGAGCUUCGCAUCAAGCAGCAGGGGAAGAAAUGUGAACCAUGUGAUACCAUUAGGUUCAUACCACAUGUUGUGUAAAAAUGAAAUCCAAAACAAAAUAAUAAAAGAAGGACAAACAA